rnacentral:rRNA from 1 species
AUGGUAUCAGAUUUGCCAGAUUACCUCAAAAAGCCCACCUAUUCCACUCGCCAGAAACAACAAGCAACCGAGAUGGAGCAGCAACUCACCGAUCUCGCAGACGCGAUGGCGAAGAUCCAGGAACAGACGGCCGCGAUCCAGCAGUCGGUCGCAGAGAUCAAGCCGGCGGUGUUGGAUCUCGCGGCGUGGCGGCCCGCGAUGGAGAAAUCGGUGGAGGAGCUGCAGACCGAUCUGGGCGGCCUCCACACCCAGAUCGCGCAGGUCACGCGCAACCCCGUGCUCUCCAUCAAGCCGGCGGAUCUCCCUCCGCUGAUUCCGCGCGUCCCUGAUAACCCACAAGUAUAG